GAGGGUAUAGCUCAGUGGUAGAGCUCAUGCUUAGCAUGCAGGAGGUCCUGGGUUCAAUCCCCAGUAUCUUCA
rnacentral:tRNA from 1 species